CCCGCCGUUGUCGGGCUGCGGGCCGCCCCGGGCCCGGCCCCCUCGGCGCACUGGCUCCUGCCAGCCGGGAUUCGGAUGUGCAGGUGGGCAGAGCCUUCCUUUCCACCAGGAAGUUGGUGUUCUUGUGCCACAGAAGGCAGUGCACACAAUGGAUUCAUCCCUGUGCCCUGGCGGUCCCGGGGUGUGUGCGUGCAGACCGCUUUUGGGGUGGUGCCCUUCUAUCGGCUCAUUGCCUUGAGGGUCGCCCAGGAUUCGCUUUUGAGCCCAAGCUGUUUCUUUACAAAGAGCUGAAUCGGUCCACGGGUACGGCCAAGCUCUUGACCUGAGAGGCGCAUCCUGCCGUCUUCCCUGCCCGCAGUCUUGCCUGUUGGCCUCACCCAGUUAUCUGGGAUAUCAGGUUCCCCUCCCCACGAGUUACGGCAGGAUCUCAUAGGAUGCUUGUCUCCCCAGUUAUCCCGCCACCCCGACCUCUGCACCUGGCUUGCAACAGAACCACGUUGGGUCCUGUUUGGGGGGCCUUAAAAGCUGCUUGUAAUCAGAAGCAUCCAAAAUGCAUCAGAAGAAGCCAAUAUUUAAAGGAAAUUCUUGGCAGAUUAAUAAACCAUAGCAUUCUCUUACAAA